rnacentral:rRNA from 1 species
UGGGGAAUUUUGCACAAUGGGGGAAACCCUGAUGCAGCGACGCCGCGUGAUUUAGAAGGCCUUCGGGUUGUAAAAAUCUUUUCUAUGGGAAGAAAAUGACAGUACCAUAGGAAUAAGGACCGGCUAAUUACGUGCCAGCAGCCGCGGUAAUACGUAAGGUCCGAGCGUUGUCCGGAAUCAUUGGGCGUAAAGGGUACGUAGGCGGGUAAGCAAGUUAGAAGUGAAAUCCUGUGGCGUAACUACAGUAAGCUUUUAAAACUGCUCAUCUUGAGAUAUGGAAAGGAAAGUGGAAUUCCUAGUGUAGCGGUGAAAUGCGUAGAUAUUAGGAGGAAUACCGGUGGCGAAGGCGACUUUCUGGCCAUAAUCUGACGCUGAGGUACGAAAGCGUGGGUAGCAAACAGG